CCUACGGGAGGCAGCAGUGGGGAAUAUUGGGCAAUGGGCGCAAGCCUGACCCAGCAACGCCGCGUGAAGGAAGAAGGCUUUCGGGUUGUAAACUUCUUUGAAGAGGGAAGAGCAGAAGACGGGACCUCUGGAAUAAGCCACGGCUAACUACGGGCCAGCAGCCGCGGUAAUACGUAGGUGGCAAGCGUUGUCCGGAUUUACUGGGUGUAAAGGGCGUGCAGCCGGGAAGACAAGUCAGAUGGGAAAUCCCGCGGCUCAACCGCGUAACUGCAUUUGAAACUGUUUUUCUUGAGUACCGGAGAGGUCAUCGGACUUCCUUGUGUAGCGGUGAAAUGCGU
rnacentral:rRNA from 1 species